rnacentral:rRNA from 1 species
GAUGAACGCUGGCGGCGUGCUUAACACAUGCAAGUCGAACGGAAAGGCUCCUGCUUGCAGGGGUACUCGAGUGGCGAACGGGUGAGUAACACGUGGGUGAUCUGCCCUGCACUUCGGGAUAAGCCUGGGAAACUGGGUCUAAUACCGGAUAGGACGAUGGUUUGGAUGCCAUUGUGGAAAGUUUUUCGGUGUGGGAUGAGCUCGCGGCCUAUCAGCUUGUUGGUGGGGUAAUGGCCUACCAAGGCGUCGACGGGUAGCCGGCCUGAGAGGGUGUACGGCCACAUUGGGACUGAGAUACGGCCCAGACUCCUACGGGAGGCAGCAGUGGGGAAUAUUGCACAAUGGGCGCAAGCCGGAUGCAGCGACGCCGCGUGGGGGAGGACGGCCUUCGGGUUGUAAACUCCUUUCGCUAGGGACGAAGCGCAAGUGACGGUACCUGGAGAAGAAGCACCGGCUAACUACGU